GAUGAACGCUGGCGGCGUGCCUAACACAUGCAAGUCGAACGGACGGACGAUAAGAUUGUUUCUUUGAUGUUUGCGGCUGGCGGGUGAGUCACGCGUGGAUCACCUACUUCUAUUUCUUGGAUAAUUACGUAAAACCGGAUAUUAUACCAUCUAAUAUUUUGCACCGCAUGGUUCAUAAGUUCUUCACGGCCUUGCUGUCUGUUCUAGCUGGAUCCGCGCUGCAUUAGCUAGUUGGUAAGGUAACGGCUUACCAAGGCUACGAUGCGUAGCCGACCUGAGAGGGUGAUCGGCCACACUGGAACUGAGACACGGUCCAGACGCCUACGGGAGGCAGCAGUAGGGAAUCGUAGGCAAUGGGCGAAAGCCUGACGCAGCAAUGCCGCGUGAGUGAUGAAGGCCUUCGGAUCGUAAAGCUCUGUUAUUAGGGAAGAACAGAUGUGGAAUUAAACGUGGAGAUCGUGACGGUACCUAAUAAAAAAGCAACGGCUAACUACGUG
rnacentral:rRNA from 1 species